GAUGAACGCUGGCGGCGUGCCUAAUACAUGCAAGUCGAGCGAACAGACGAGGAGCUUGCUCCUCUGACGUUAGCGGCGGACGGGUGAGUAACACGUGGAUAACCUACCUAUAAGACUGGGAUAACUUCGGGAAACCGGAGCUAAUACCGGAUAACAUGUUGAACCGCAUGGUUCAACAGUGAAAGACGGUCUUGCUGUCACUUAUAGAUGGAUCCGCGCCGCAUUAGCUAGUUGGUAAGGUAACGGCUUACCAAGGCAACGAUGCGUAGCCGACCUGAGAGGGUGAUCGGCCACACUGGAACUGAGACACGGUCCAGACUCCUACGGGAGGCAGCAGUAGGGAAUCUUCCGCAAUGGGCGAAAGCUUGACGGAGCAACGCCGCGUGAGUGAAGAAGGUCUUCGGAUCGUAAAACUCUGUUAUUAGGGAAGAACAAAUGUGUAAGUAACUAUGCACGUCUUGACGGUACCUAAUCAGAAAGCCACGGCUAACUACGUG
rnacentral:rRNA from 1 species